AGUGAACGCUGGCGGUAGGCCUAACACAUGCAAGUCGAACGGCAGCACAGUAAGAGCUUGCUCUUACGGGUGGCGAGUGGCGGACGGGUGAGGAAUACAUCGGAAUCUACUUUUUCGUGGGGGAUAACGCAGGGAAACUUACGCUAAUACCGCAUACGACCUACGGGUGAAAGCAGGGGAUCUUCGGACCUUGCGCGAUUGAAUGAGCCGAUGUCGGAUUAGCUAGUUGGCGGGGUAAAGGCCCACCAAGGCGACGAUCCGUAGCUGGUCUGAGAGGAUGAUCAGCCACACUGGAACUGAGACACGGUCCAGACUCCUACGGGAGGCAGCAGUGGGGAAUAUUGGACAAUGGGCGCAAGCCUGAUCCAGCCAUACCGCGUGGGUGAAGAAGGCCUUCGGGUUGUAAAGCCCUUUUGUUGGGAAAGAAAAGCAGCAGGUUAAUACCCCGCUGUUCUGACAGUACCCAAAGAAUAAGCACCGGCUAACUUCGUG
rnacentral:rRNA from 1 species